rnacentral:rRNA from 1 species
GAUCAUGGCUCAGGAUGAACGCUAGCUACAGGCUUAACACAUGCAUGUCGAGGGGCAGCAUUGGAGUAGCAAUACUCAGAUGGCGACCGGCGCACGGGUGAGUAACACGUAUCCAACCUGCCGCUUACUCGGGGAUAGCCUUUCGAAAGAAAGAUUAAUACCCGAUGGUAUAAAGAGUUCGCAUGUUCUCUUUAUUAAAGAAUUUCGGUAAGCGAUGGGGAUGCGUUCCAUUAGAUUGUUGGCGGGGUAACGGCCCACCAAGUCUACGAUGGAUAGGGGUUCUGAGAGGAAGGUCCCCCACAUUGGAACUGAGACACGGUCCAAACUCCUACGGGAGGCAGCAGUGAGGAAUAUUGGUCAAUGGACGAGAGUCUGAACCAGCCAAAGUAGCGUGAAGGAUGACUGCCCUAUGGGUUGUAAACUUCUUUUAUAAGGGAAUAAAGUGAGGGACGUGUCCCUUUUUGUAUGUACCUUAUGAAUAAGGAUCGGCUAACUCCGUGCCAGCCGCCGC